UACGAACUGCGCGAACGUUAUUCGGAAUCACUGGGCUUACAGGGUGCGUAGGCGGCUUUUCAGGUCCGAUGUGAAAUCCCACGGCUCAACCGUGGAAUGGCAUUGGAAACCGGAAAGCUGGAGUGAGCUAGAGGUGCACGGAACUUCCGGUGGAGCGGUGAAAUGUGUUGAGAUCGGAAGGAACACCAGAGGCGAAAGCGGUGCACUGGGGCUUGUCUGACGCUGAGGCACGAAAGCCAGGGGAGCGAACGGG
rnacentral:rRNA from 1 species